GCCGGCUUAGCUCAGUAGGUAGAGCAGAGGCUUGAAAAUCCUCGUGUCGGUGGUUCGAUUCCGCCUCCGGGCACCA
rnacentral:tRNA from 1 species